CACCGCGGUUAGACGAGAGGCCCUAGCUGAUAUUAUAACGGCGUAAAGGGUGGUUAAGGAUAUAUAAAAAUAAAGCCGAAUGGCCCCUCGGCCGUCAUACGCUUCUAGGUGUCUGAAGCCCUAAUACGAAAGUAGCUUUAAUAAAUUACCUGACCCCACGAAAGCUGAGAAA
rnacentral:rRNA from 1 species